rnacentral:lncRNA from 11 species
UUUACGGGGCUGCGUUUCAACCAGCACCAAUGGCGCUACUUGUCGCCGUCGGCAGUGACACGUGUGCGCGUGCGAAUAAUAACCACGUACACGUUCAUACAGUCCGGAGAUAACUAUUGUCCUGGUCUCGGGGUGUAAUGCCCUAUUGUGAAUUGGUCACAGUGACGUAUCGCCUGUCGUCAGGAAAACGACGAACGCACAUUGUUGUAUAUGAUACAACGCGGCACUGCCACUAUGUGACAUCAGGAGGAUAACGGCAACAAUAACAAUAACAACAACAGCGAAGCAUCAACGACGAACACGAUAUACACGCGCUGAACACGCAACAAGCACAGCGGGCAGCCAUAUUAUUACCGUCUUUUCGCAGUCCGCGCCUCUGUUGUAGACAUAAUGGUAACCCGCACCACGGACUCGCUGCUCACCUGCCCAGUGAAGAGAGGAGAAGAAGGAAGAAACGUGCACGUUAGGGGUAAGGAGGGAACCUCGCUAGUGGGGAGACGGCCACUUUGCCUCUUGUUACCUGUACGCUCCUGCGUUUAUUUUUCUGCUUCCUUUGCACUCUCAUUUCCUUGCUUUCCGAGCUGACGAUCAAUCUACAUAACGCUCGACCUUUUUUCAAUUUGAAUUAUUGCUCUCGAAUAUGUUCUACGAAUUGGAAAUACGUCAUCUCCGUUCGUUUAUUUUAUAUAAGAUAAGAUUGAAGUCCUACCGUUAACGGAAAAAGACUUUCUGCUUUCGCCACUGAUACAUUGUAUCAUAUAUAUAUACAUUUAUAUUAUUCCGCAUAUAUAAAUCUUGUAUAAAAUUUCAGAAAAAUUCAACAAGGAGUAACUUGCAAAUAAUAUGUUUGUUACUUUAUAAUAGAACUUGGUAAAAAAUUAGA